rnacentral:tRNA from 2 species
GCUGGAGUGGUGGAAUUGGUAGACACAAGGGACUUAAAAUCCCUCGAACCUCGGUUCGUGCCGGUUCAAGUCCGGCCUUCAGUA